rnacentral:lncRNA from 10 species
UAGAGACCCAAAAUUUCAUUUGGUUAAUGUUAAGCUGUGACAAAAUCCAGAAGUUUCCAAGUUAAGGAUGAAGUUUAACAAUGUCUGUCUUUUAUUUCAACUCAGAUCCAUAUGUGUAUGAGAAGAAGAGCAGUUAUAUUCCAGGAAAAAAAAAAAAAACAUUUAUCAUGGCCUUGAUGUGCUUUUACCUAGAGCUUUUACGUAAGUUAUUGGAUUUAGUUCUUCACAGCAAUUUUUAAGGUAGGUAUUAUCAGCUCUAUUUUUAGUUAAAAACCUGAAUAUCAGGGAUAUCAAGUAACUUGUCCAUGUUCCCAGGACCAGUAAGUAGUAGAGCCAAGAUCUGAACCCAGAUCUGCUGGCUCCAAAGCCUGGGUUCUUCCCUUGCACAAUGCUGACCAAAACCUACUAGCACAAUUUCAGUUUUUGCUCUCAUAUAUGUAAAGUAAAAGUAAGGCUGCUCCAUACAGAAUCUUAGUCUGUGUACUGUACAGCUCCAAGAGGUGCCAUGGAAUUGUGCAACCGAGGUGGCCUUUAGUAAAAACAUAGUAUGAUAUGGCUGUUCUGGGGGCUUUCCAGUCCUCUAAAUCCUCUAGGUAAGGUCUUUCCACAAGACAGUGGCAGGCAAUGGAAAAAGCAGCCCACUGAUGGAUUCCAGAAUUAUCUCAGCGUGGCAUAACAAAUGGGGCAUACAGAAGUGGGGAGAUGUGUGUGCUAAUUCUCAUGCUGAAAUUAAUUCACUGGCUCACCUGAACCUUAGGUUAGCAAAAGGUCCUCACUGGUUCAGUUUCCUCACCUGAGCAAUGAAUGAGAGUGGACUCAAUUACUGGAUUUCAAGAUUGCUUUUAGGUUGUAGAAAUCUUACGCAGAAAUGCAAUGCACAAAGCAGGCAAAUGCAAAGGUGGGGACUGGGAAGAAGGAACUUGGAGCCUGCUUACUCACUCAGCUCCCUCCUCCUUUCCAACCUGCACCUCUGAACACAGCUGGCCAAAGCUGGCACUUGAUGAUCUUUCCAUAUCUAAAAAUCCUAAUAUUUUAUAGUUCUGUGCAGAUUAUCCAUGUUCUGAGUAACUGCAGUGAAUUGCUCUCAGUGAAUUACCUAAACUGCUUGUGAGGGACCAAGUCUAGUGUGAGAGAAAUAUCUACACAGAGCAGAACACUGAAUGUGUCAGUGCCAAUGAAUAAUGCUUUAUCCAGUUGAGUUUCAACCUGAAACAUGAAACCCCAGCAGUGAGCCCAUCAGGGGUUCACUGGAAAAUACGUGCACAGCCAACCUCCAGAGCCCCACAAUGGGUUUUGUUGUGUAGCAAUGGGGGUGAGGGGGGAAAGGAGGAGGAGGGAAUCCAAGGGAACAAUGUCUAUUGCUUCAGCCAAAGGACUUAAUAAUUAGCUGUGACUAACAAAUACCACAUGGGAACCAACUUGUAAAAAAAUGUCCCACAAAGCACCCUAUUGCCAGUGGGCCAAUUUGAGCCUGCAACCUCUCCCCUUCUAGGGAGAGAUUAGAAAACUAGAAGGAAGGAGAGCAACUCCAUCUGCCUGAAGCCACUGGACCAAAGACUCAGAUGGAUGGAAGCUGGGGAUGCUUUCAAAGCACCCUCCCCCUUGCUCUUGAAAUUGUAAGCACUUGGCCUCCCUGGGCUGAAAUUCCAGGGGCAGGGGCUAAGGGAGUUAACAUAGGCAGAACUUACUCCAAACAAUGUCAAUACAAAACAGGUUUUCUUUAUGGAAGCAAGUUAGGACGAAAUCGCUGAAAAGGUCAUCUGUGUUUGCAGUACACAGUACGGUGGUGCAGGCAGAAGGGAGGUGCCAAGCCAUAAAUCCAGGGAGGCUUGGACAGGUGAAUAGCAAUUUACUCCCCCACAAACUUCAGUGGGGGCUGGGUGCGUCCUAGGAAAGCAGGAUUUGGAAACAGGAAGUUGGUGCCUGUUAUCCUCAGGUGGGCUACUCAGGGUCACAGCCCUGGUGUUACAAAUCAACGUCCACAAAUUUUCAAUGCACAGACAGGUCCUGAGCUGGCUGCAUCAAAAAGACUUGGGUUCUUAUUACUAUAGUCUUCUGGGCACCUUCUGCAGGGAUUACAGCUUGGAAGCCUUGGGGCAGCUGUGCUCGGAUUUGGCACAGAAGCUGUGAAGGGGAAAGUGCAAAGAUCACAUAGCACCCAGACUUUAGGAGCUGGCAGGUUGGCUGUGCCAGUUAGCGUAACGAGCACCUGCAGGCUCUUUAAAAGUUAGCCAUUCUUAUUUUGAAGGCAACGGUUAAGAGCAUGGAUUAUGGAGUCAAACAGACCCAAGUUCAAGUUCCAGACUGGCCAAUUAUUGGCUUCUCUGGACUUCAGUUUUUACAAAUAAAAACAGAAUGUUUGCCUAUGUGGAUAAAGUGAAUGAACUUUUGUAAAAUUUUUGGCACAGAGGGUUAAUGUACAGCUUUUAAUUUACAUAUGAUAUAUAUUAACACAUACAUGUAUGUGUGUGUACAUAUAUACAUACACAGAGAGAAUUGCUCACAUUAUUUUUUUCUUCCUAGAAUUUCCCAAGCCAUGGUCCAUCAAAUCAUAGACCCUCCUGCUCCAGACUUUUGAAAGUCCCCAAUGCAUAGGCAAGCAUUUCUAGAUGGCUAGACAGAGCCUGAUUUCCUCUGGCUGAUUACUUAUUAAAAGGUACUUCCUCAGUUCACUUUUGAGUGGAAGUUUUUCAGAAAGCCAUUCGCUCACUCGCUCACUUGCUCGCUCCCUCACUGGCUCAGUCUUGCAUGGACAAUCCUGUGGAAUGCAAGAGCACAGGGCAAAACGGUUAGUCAAGGCUGCUUAGCCAGCUAGUACAGGUGGUCAGAUUUUGACAAGAUCUUAAAUUGGGGAAGUUCAGACAAGCGGUUACUUUGGGUCCUUGGAAUAUUUAUAAUAGGGGGUGAAGAGAGGUUCACCGAAGGAAUUGACAAGCUACUAAUUAAUGCCAUCACUGCUGCCUGGCACCUCUAUUAAGCAAAACUCAGAAACCGGGAGCCAAUUUUCACAUACGCUUUCUUUUCUAAAUGGUAGCCCUUCUGAAUUGCAACCUUCUUCACGCCUGGCACUCCCAGCCGCCAUCGGCCCCUCUCCGACUGCACAUCACACCAGGUCCAAGAGAAGCUAAUUUAACCACCGCUGGUUAAAAUCAUACUGCACUUCACAGCGCCUUUCACAUGCCAUGAAGCUGUCAUGAUAAUUCUUGAUCUCUAGCUCACCUGACAGCUCAGCCCUCCCUUGACUGCAAAGCUUCCCCGUCAGUUAGAAAUAGCAGUUUUCCUGGCACCAGAUGUGUCAUCUUGAAUAUCCAGAUGAAAGGCAGACACCUGGCCCCUGCUCCCUCCCCUCCCUGCCUCGUUUUCCCUUCUUAGCUCUGGAUUUUGUUUAGGAAGGCCAUGUACCACCCCACCCCCAACUCCCAAGUCCCUCCUCUGGGCAGCCUGGAAGUUCCUCUUCUGCACAAUUCAAAAGAUGUCUUGCAUUAGCCCACAGAGCAACUUCACACCUUGUGCAGCAAAGAGACACACACACACCAAUUGACAUCGCUAGGAGAGGGAAGGAAAACUUAACAUCAGGGCAAGAUUUCCACCCCUUUGCAGCUGCUUGGGAAGCCUGGCUAGCCCAAACCACCAGCCCAGCUGCCUCCAAAGGGUAGUGCUGGCUUCUCUCUCACCAGCUGUCUGAUCCCAUCUCUUCACUACGACUUUGUAGCUUGGUCUUUCGUUAUGAGAUCCUUGGGAUGAAAAGAGAUAUUGUUUUGAUAAAGGGCAGGCCUGGGUGAAUAAUGUGGUCUGUGUGUCAUGGACAGGAAAGGAACAAAUUGUGCCUGAGGUGGUCACCUGAGCCCCAUGAGCUACUCAUGGGGGCUUCUUAAACCCAGGCAGCACACGUGGACAUCUUUACAAACACACCCGCUGUGUCCCUUUUUUGUAACUAAUAAAGAACAAGUGUCAGCAUUAAGCCUCUGUUACCGAUUUUCUUUUCCUCUGCUGGAAAGGAGGUGGUGUAAGCAGAGUUUACUGUAGAAACCAAGAAACAAAAGACAACAUGACCAGUUUUCGAACUUGGCGUGCUCUGAAUUAUUAAAAAUAAUCUUAUAGUGUCCGCCCAGCCCUCUCAAGCAUACCUGCCUUUAAUCUUGUAAACAAGUUCAUAGCAGGAAGGGGAAUAUUUUCAAUCUGUUUCCUUCUACAUGGCUGUAAGAAACAUGACGCCCAUCCAUCAUGCAAAGAGAGCCUGACGAGGCAGAGGAAAGAUCAUGGCAGGACUUCUGUCUUGGUGGACAGGUGAGGCAGAUUUUGGACAUGACUUGGUGCUUACAUAAGUGGCUCUUUGUUUUGCUGCUGCAGAAAUCAAAGGACAAGGUACCAGGGUGCCUUCAGUUAAAACAAGGGCUGGUCCUGCUCAGCCCUGGGACCCUGAGGAGAGGAAACGCGGUGAACUUAGCAGCCCCCAGUGGGACCUGCACUAAUGUCCAAUCCUCAGCAGUGAGAAUUCUUCAAAGAGGAAUCUCACAGUUCCCAUCAUCCAGGUUUGAAAGAAAAAGGGAGGCUUAACAGAUGGAGAGAAGUAGACGUAAAGAAAAGGGAUAUUUGUCUUCUCUUUUCCUUUUUUCAUGGCAGUCUUUUUAUUGUGGUAAAAUAUACAUAACACAAAAUUUACCAUUUUAACCACUUUUAAGCUAUAAUUCAGUAGCAGUAAGUAUUAGGUUGGUGCAAAAGUAACUGCGGUUUUUGCCAUUACUUCCGAUUACUUUCACCACCACUAUCCAUCUCCAAAUUCUUGUCAUCAUCCUAAAUAGAAGGUCUAUACACAUUUAACACUAACUCCUCCAUUCCUUCUCCCCCAGUCCCUAGUAACCACUAUUAUACUUUGUCUCUAUGAAUUCAACGAUUCUAGGUACUUCAUGUAAGUGGAAUCAGAUAGUAAUAGUCCUUUUGUGUCUGGCUUAUUUCACCCUGCAUAAUGUUGUCAAGGUUCUUCCAUACUGUAGCAUGUGUUAGAAAUUCAUUCCUUUUUACAGCUGAAUGAUAUGCCAUUGUGUGGGUAUGCAGAAUUCAUUUUUUUUAUCUAAGAAGGUUUCUGAAUGCUCAGUAGGUGCCAGGCACUAAGCUUGACCACAGGGAGACCCGGAUAAUAAGUCCCAGUCCCUUUCUUUGUGAAGUGCACAGUUACUGGAUUGAAAGCCCAGUGAGGAUGGGCUCAGUAAGGUACCUCCCAGGGUAUACACUCAUUCAACAGACAUCACCUGGAUGCCUAUAAUGAGCCAGGCUCUAGCAUGGCAGGUGCUGAGAAAAUGAAAUUGAAUACAGUUUCCAGAACAAAUCCAUAGCCAGCCAGUUCAUAGGUAGCAGUGCCCUGGACAGAAGUCUUUAAACUUUGGCCUUCUUUUUUAAAUAACCUAAUUUCAGAGGAGCUUGGGGAACAUCAGAAUGAUGUGAAAAUUAAUCCAGCAGUUCCAAAUGCAGACAGGCCCUGAGGCCAGGAGGUGACCUGGGGCAUCUGUGACAGGACUGGUGUGAGCGGGAGGGAGGUCCUUCCGUUUCCUCCUAUACAUUCCAUAAUAAGGCCCUGCAGCUGAAACCAGGACCACAACACACAAAAACCCACAUCCUACCAGAGACUGAGCCUGCAAGGGUGGCGUGUGUCACAUGCCUGGCUGGCUCCAGAGCACAGGACGAACAGGACAGGGGAGGAGGUAGGAAGACUGCCAAGUACUCAGGAAACUCACAGAGAAUACCUGUGCCUCCUCUUCCCCAUCCUACCCUUUAGACAUGUCACGGCAACCAGGCAGGUAGAUUGUUUUUCUAACUUAGAUUUCCCAACAAAAUAAGAAAAAGAGGAAAGGUAGGUUCGGGAGUAGCUGGAUUUUGUCUUGUUACAUAGCGAACUCUCAAGAAUUGAUGUUAAUAAACAAGUAGGAACUGAUGAAAUCUCUGCCCCCAAAUACAGGAGAAUUCACAAUUUUAUUACGUUUGAUUUCAUUUACAAUGAGUGUGUGUGUUGUCACACAUUUAUGUUGCUAAUACUGGUUUCUUUUGUAUGCUAUUUAAUAUUCUAGGGCAUUAUCAAGGGGAUAUACAGUUGGGGAGCAUUUUACUAGCAAGAAAGCCUGCUACCUGCAAAAUAGACCCAAAGGGGACAAUUGAUAAGUGGACAAUAAAAUACCAUACAGCCAUUAAACAUAAGGUCAAUUGGAAACUCAAUGAGUCUGGCUCACUACUGUGUCCCCAUCACCUGGCACAGAGAAGAUGUGUAUUUGUCAGCUGAAUUAAGAAUGAAUGUUCAUGAAGAGUUUGUAAGUUCAUGAGAAAAUUCCUUGAUGGUCAGUGGAAAAGUAAAGUAUUACCUUUCGUGUAUCAGUAUGAAUUCAAACAUGUAAAAAAUGCUUUGAAGAAAAAGAAACAGACGGACAUGCCUAAUGGUUAGGUUAUCUCUGGGGGUGAAGGGAGAGGGGAAAGAUUAUGGGUGAUGUGAAUUUUUUUCCCUUUCUAUUUCUUUUUUUAUUUAACUUUUUCUAUAAUGACUAUAUAUCAUUUGGAAGAAAAAUUAUUCAAUGUAAAACUCUCCAGAUGGCUAAAUGCAAGUGGAGCAUGGAUGGAAGAAUUUGGAGAAUUCAACAUCUACUUCGACUCUACUUUUUCUAAGAUGUAGGAUGUGGAUACCAAAGAAUUGAGUAGAUCUGUCACAAAGCAAUGGAAGAUGACAUUUGAUAUGGGUGGGCCAACUGCGAAUAAAAAGAAGACGUUCACUUGGGAGAUAGAAAAGAGAAGUUCUAGUCAUGACUUUUCCAAUUUACUUGCUAUAUAACCUUGAAUAAGUACCCUCUCUGAAUUCCUGUCUCCUUACCUGUGGAAUGAAGACAAAAAUUCCUAAGGCUCUAGCAAGAUUGUCAAACAAAGGCCUAUAUGUGUGAGUUGCAAAUAAAAGGAAAGCACCUUCUGAUAAGUGUCUUCUAAUUCCCAUGUCAUUUCUUGUCCCUGUGGCCUGUUUGUGCUGUUUGAAAGCUCGGGGGAAUUGGAAUAAGUGACAAGGAGGUCAGAUGUAAGUUAAAGUGUUAGCCCCCAUUUAUCUACCAUUUUGGCUCUAAACGACUAGUUUCAGUCCAGACCGAUUUAGUAAAGUGAGAAAACUGUGACUGCAAACUGGCAGUACACACAAUCAGAGGAAUGAGUAAAAAGCUUAGACUGCCCUUCAAUUCAGAGGUUAAAGCAAGCACACAGACCCGGUGUCUCCCUCACUGUGUGCCAGCCAACCAUAUAUUAUUAAUUGGGCUCAACAAACAUUAUUGAGCACCUUCUACUGCAAAACUCUGGCAGGGCGCUCUGGGGAGAUCUAAAUGCAAUGUGAGGCAAUGCCCCACUCUUCACCAACCUGCCAUCUGGUUGGGAUAACAAGAUCAUCACAGGCAAAACUGUUCUCCCAUAUCUCUGCCCAUUAAAAUUUCACUGAGCCCUCAAGGCUCAAUUCAUAAUUAGAUUUUCCCCAAGAAGCUUUCCCCAAUCCCCUCAGCCCUUUGUUUAAUCCUCAUUUCUGGAAUUUGUCAUGCUCUGCAUUAUAACUUGCUUGUGUGUG